AUGUUAAGCAACAGAGCGCAUCUGGCAGCGGCGCAACAGCGACGCAAUGGUGAGCAAGGCACUAACGCCUGGCCAGCGACGAAAACGAAUACGAAAUGAAAUGAAAAAACGGUUAUCACAGUUGCGUUCUCUCGCUCUUCGCAACAAGUCGUGGGUGUCGGAUUAGCGGAAAAAUCGUAGAUUUCCCAGUGGAAAUUCGGCACGCUUGAAAGUGAAAACAAAACGCACACACGCCUCAACAGCAUCGAAUAAAUAAAUCUAUACAAAGUAAAAUCGAGAACGGUACAAUACAACAAACGAAAUAAUUUAGCGCGUGCGUUGGUGGCGGGGGAGGGGGAGUUUGGGAAAGAAAAGCGGAAAAACCUGUGUUUAUUUUUGAAAUGCCAAAAAGUGCAGUGCCGAAAAUCAGCCAAAGCGAACGAGGCGAGAAAAACGCGCAGAUGAAAUGAAAUGAAAAGUUAUAAAUAAAUAUAUAUGCCAUGCGGCUGGGCGGACGAAGAAGAAGAAGAUGAUGAGGAAGAAGACGACGAGGGACGUGAUUUCUCUUUUUUUCGCCUGUCCGUAGUCUAUGCCCCUCUCGUUCGCACACCCGCCCGCAGCAUCCCAUCGCACCUACAUAUGCGUGUGUGUGUGUGAAAUAAGAAUUAAACCAAAAGCAACAAAAUACAAAAUUCAUUCACGGCGCACAUGUUUUUGUGACCGUUGCUGUGUUGUUGCCUUUGCCGCCUCCGCUUCGCCUGCUCGUUUAUCCUGCCAUCCUUUUUGGCUGCGCUCUCCGUUUGGAUUCUGAUUCGAUUUUUCCCACUCACAGCAUCUCGCUCUCUCUCAGCUGCUUUGUUAGUCCGCCUUUCGCGAAAAUAUAUAUAGGACUGUAAUAAAAUCGGUAAUAAAGUCGGACAUAAGCCCAUUGGAACAGAUGAUGAAUCUCGUUUCAUAAGCCAAAUCGCAGGGAAGAGCAGGAAAAAGUGCAGACGCGCGAAAAGAAAAGUAUCUCAGGGAUGCGUAGUAACGCAGACAAGCAAGCCCUUUGUGUGUGAUCAAAAAUCGAAAAACAGACAACAGGAAUACAGUCAACGUUCGAUAAAGUGGAUAAUCGAAGGCGGGGAAUCAAAGGCUUAUUCUGAAAAUACAGUGGACACAUACGAAGUGCAAGUCUUUUAGAGAGAGAUUACAGAAAAUGCUCUUUAAAGUGAACACUCAGUAGGCAGCUGCUUUCUUAUGAAGCUGAUGCUGUUUCACUUAAAUGUUUGUUAUAUUUGAGAUUAAAACAGAAAGUGAAACUAAUAUUUGUUAUCAAAAUGCGAUAGCACGUUAAUGAUUACCAUUCCAAAGCCAUUUGAAAUGAUGAAAUGAGUAAUUGAGAUCUAGAGCUUACUUGACCAAAUAAUAUUUUUAUACUAAAAUAUUCAGCAUUACAAAAAAUCUUUAAAUACAACGAAUAAUUAUAAAUCUAAAACCAAUAGGAAAAUAAGUUACAAACUUAAAUAUCAGGCAAAUAAAGUCACUGUGUUCUCAAAUGUUUUAAGUUCAGUUCAUUGCAUUCAAAGUUCAACAAAUUAUUAAAACAUGUAACCAACAUAUAAAUCGUCGAAACUUAGGCAAUUUUUACUGUGACUGUCUGCUUCUUUUUCGCCGCCCCCUCUUCGUUUUCUCUUGCUCGCCUCUUUCGCAUCAUCUCUUUUGUCUCGCGUUUGCGCCGUCUUUUUUGCGCAUUUCCCUUUGGCUUGCUGUUUCGGUUCUGUUUUCGUUUCGAAAAAUUAAAACAUCCAGGGAGUUUUCAGUUCGGUUCAGUCAGUUUCCCAGGGGGCCAAAAAAUAAAAGCCACCCCUGUAAAAACAACUCAACAAGAAUUUGUACUUUAUAUCGCCACAUAUCGCGCCCUCUCUCUCCCUCUCUCUCGCUCAGUCGCGCCCCGUCUCGCUCGCUCGCACGUGCGACAUUGAAAAAUAUAUAUUAGUUUUGCGUGUGCGGAGAAAUAAUUUCCCAUAAAGUGCAAAAGCGUGUUUCAACCCAAAAUUAUUAUUUUCAUUAAUUUCUGACUUACGUAUCUUGUAGUCAAAGUCAAAGUGUAUCUCAAAAAUAAAGAAAAAAAUAAAAAAUCAGAAGGAGAAACAAAAUUGUGCCAAAAACCGAGAAAAAUAAUCAAAAAAUUCAAAUCAAAUUGAAAUCUGAAAAAAAAAACCAAAUGGUAUAUUCGCCAAACCGCGCAUAAAGUGAAGGAUAUAAUAGUGAACUACCCCUGUUGCUUGGUCAACCCCCUGCAAGUACACGCAGCGAAAUAGUUGAGUGGCAAGACACACGGGAGAGGAGUCAACAUCAUUUGCGACGCCACUGUGAACAUAAAAAGCCGUCAAACUGUGGGGCUCAGGGGCAUUUUUCCUUCCUCCGCAAGGAAUGUAUUAUCCGGUACGUUUGAUAUGCAAAUACUAUAGUUGAAAAACUACACCAAAGUCGAAUGAUUGAUAAGGAAGUUGGCCUGGCCUAAACUAGACUUAGACACAUUUUGAUGAAUGGCACAAGAAGCUGCUUUUGUGGUUAACGAUGGGUUUUAAUGAUGUCAGACCGGUGAUUUGACAUUGAAUUUGGUUGCUCAAGCCAGAACGAGUAUUUUUCGGUGUUUGUUUUUGCAGAAAAUUAAUGGAUACGGCCGUUGAAUUGUUCUUUAAUGACCCAGUUAAAAAAAAAAACUAUAAAUGCAGCAUUAUAUGUUUGUAGAUAGCUUCAUUCUAUAGAAUAUCUAAAUAUCUAGUCAUAUCUUGAACUACAGACAAAAUCCUUAUAUUUCAAAUAUUUUGCAAUCGUUCAAUGUCGCUGCCGCCCUGAAUCGAUUUCUAGUUUCAGUUUAUUUCGCAAAUGUCACUCAAAUUAAUUGCAAUUAAAAGUUCGCCUGCCUGUCAUCGUGUGUAGCAGUAGUAACUUGAAACAGAAACGUUUCGCAUACGCGAAAUAAAUCCGCAUCGCACACAGAUUGAGAGGAAAAUAGUUGAAAAAAUAAAACCGAAAUUGCGUCGCAUUAAGUAAAGCCUUCCUGGCCUGGUCCGCCGAUUUUUCAAUUGAAAAAUUGCACAUAAAUUGCAUAAAACUGUUAUACGUCGACGGCAGCUGGCAUAAAUUGUGUUUCAGAUGUGGUUUUUAUGGGGAGGUGGAGAGAUCAGAGGAAGUCCAUUGUGCGUGCGCAGUUAACCGCAAAGUUUUGGUCAAGACUUUGUAUUUCAACGCAAACAGAUUAUAGCAUUUACACACUGCGUAUCGAGAUUGUAAAACCGAGAUGGGUUUUGAAAAAAAAAUAUACUAAAAAUCAUAAAACAUGGAUCGUUGGCAACACUUACACUUCAGGGUCUAAAAUCAUGAAACGCACUGUAUCCCAUCAUCUGAUAUCUCUGAUUUUACAUCUUUCCGUCUUUAUGUCGGCUAUUAAUUAUGUUUAUUUUGCGUUUACAGCGCUUUGAAGGCUGUUUGGCAUCUCAAAUGAUUUUCAUGUACCAAAUGACUUUCACUCAAUUAGUCUUUCAAGUGAUGUAGGCAUGUGUCCGACAAUUUCUUAAGUCGAUUUUCCAUUUUUUCCAUUACCCGAAGUGGCCAUCAAUCCCUCCACCGAUUGGAUAGGUUCUUGUCAUAUUUCAAUUUCUCAUUUUCCCCCUCCUUGAUUGAUGGCUCUGUAUAAUUUUUCAGGGAAAAAAAAGAGCAUAAAUGGGCAACAUUUUGUACUAUGUGGGCAAAGUUAUGUAGAGUAGAGUCCGUACGGCCCGCAUCUAAUUGAGUCCAUUUCCAUUUCCAGGGCAAAUGAUAUGACAAUUUAUUUCAAUUAAAGUUGAUUUAAAAAAUUGCCAUUCCGCCUACAGUUCGCGCCAUCUGUUUCUAGUCCGGAUCGCCUUGAUAAGUCCGACAAUAGAAAACCUUAUUUAAAUUCCUAAGUCAAGCCAAAAAACCGCUCACUAAAAUUGUAUAAUAUGUAGGUUACCUUUUACUUUCAAUCGUUUCGAUGAUAAAUUAACCGAAAUGAAGCUCGUAAAAAGUAUAAAAAUAAGGUGCUCAAGAUAAAAUCUUCUCGUUUUGCGUAAUAUCUUUGGAAUGUAAAUUGCAAAUAAAUUGGCAAUUAACUUGGGAUUUUUCGUAUUUAUUAUACGCGUACUUAGCUUAAUUCGCAUAGGUGCUGUUGAAAAGCAAUUAAAUCGGGGCGCGAUAAUCCUAAAAAAAAUGCUCUUAAAAAUGCAUGUACCAGUUUUGCACAUUUCCAAAUGACUUAAAUAAAAUAAGCAAACGAGUUAAUUGAAUAUUUUAAAUUAACACAAUGCAAAUUUGCUGUAACUGACAAGUUCACAGCUCGAGAUGAAAGAGCCAAAGAUAAACAAACGCCAACGAAAAACCGGCGGCAGUGUGAAUGACCCAAACUUCAUGUCCCCCCCUCUCUCUCUUUCUAUCUCUACCUCUUCCUCUCUCUUUCUGAGCCGAGUGAAACGUUUAAGCCAAGUUUCAUGCAAAUUAUUCGGUUCAACGAUUAUGGAGCGCAGAGCGGGGGCCAAAAGCUAAUCGCAGGUGUCAGUCACACGAAUCGCAGGUAUACAUAUCUCCCCUCGUUUUUCUUGCCCCAGCAAUUAGCAAGAUCGUCGCACGCCCGCUAAUUUUUUUUUUUUUUUUUUUUUUUUUUUUUUUUUUUUUUUUUUUUUAAUUUUUUCGUAUUUUUUCUAUGACUCAGCAGCAGGCGGACAAAAGUUGGUCAAAAGUGUAACAGGUUUUCACGUUGUCAUUGUAGUGCAGUUGCCAAAGUAACGGUAUCUGUAGCAGACAGAUCGAGGAGGUCAACUAUAUAGCAUUAACUUGGUUAUUGGAGCGAUUGCAUAAUGGAGUUCUCUACGCUUCAGUGGACAGCUCAAGAUUAGCUCUUCUGUUACUAGUUUAUAAUCAUCAUAGAACUAUUUUCAAAUAUUGAAAACUUCUUGAAAACUUAAAAAUAGAACAUAACCGAUUGACGAAUGAUAAAAAAUGAUGUUUGAAUGCAAAAGUCAGUAGAUAAAUGCAAUUAAUACAAAUCUUUUAUCAUUAUUAUGGUAAAUUAUUGUAUCACCCCUCUAAUUUGCUGCCAUUUUCACCAAGUAGCUGGUAAUAAGGACUUAGUUGCGCUCUUUUUCAAAUGACUUUUAUGGGGCUGUCAAUUGUUUUCACUCCAUUUCUCGGCUCCAUUCAACUGCCAUUCGUUUUCAUUCAUUAGCAGCAAGUGCAGUGCAUCAGUUCUGCUCUUUCAUCACACUUGCGCUAGCACACGCCAUCUCUUUCGCUGCCGCUCUACCCGUCUCUUUCGGCCUCUAUCUGGCUAUUCGCAACGCCCCCACGUGCUUUUUGAACGCUUUUGAUCGCUGACACAGUCGACAAAUUUUUAUUGCCGCCUCGGAGUCGAUCUCGGACUUUUGUUUUGCUUCUUAUUUUAUUUAUUGCAGCCGGCUUUUGUUUUCAUUUAUCUCGUGCUCUUCGCUCUCUCAUACAUGUUUUUUUUUUUAACAAUUUUAUUUCGUUUUGUUAUUUCUAUUUUGUGCGUUCACUGUUGGGCUACUAAAAUUUACAUUUUAUUUGCAUGUCAUAAACGAGAUUUUAUUGUAGGCAUGUCGUUCGUGCAUGUAUAAUUUUUUGUUGACUUUAUUUUUUUCGACCAAAUAUUUUGCUAUUGAGUAAUCGAGGAAAAUGUCUACAAAGUCAAGUCAAGAACAGUGGGAUUUGGUUGGAAAAUGUGUUUGAAACAUGACAUAUAAAUAUGUUUCCUCCUAAUUAAUUUCCGUAUUGUAUAAGAUACAUAUUUUGCUAAAUGAAUAAGUAGAUGCUUUUUGUCUUUACAUUUUCGUAACGCACUGUAUUUCCAUGCAUUCAGUUAGUGCCCACUUGAUUUAGCAUUGAGUAAGGUUUUUUUUAGUUUAUUUUUAGGGUUGGUCAAUAAAUAAAGAGGUGGGCAAACAACUUUUGAAUAGACUUAUACAAAUAAUUGCGGUCUUACUAGUUUGUCAGAGCUUCAAGUGGAUAGAUAGGCCUCAACUGCAGUGAUAUCAAAUAGGGGUUUGGUUAUUUCAUAAUAAAACAUGUUUAAAAAAUUUCAAUUAAUUUUUCUGAGUCAUCACAACCUUUCUGAAUACCAGCCCUGACAUCCAUUAAAUUGCUAAUCCGCACCUGAAUCAUUCCGCAACCGGAAACAUCUAGAGACAUGCAGUCUGCAACUAUUUAUAGAAUUGGCUAAAGCUAUGAAAAGUAUCUUUGUUAUUAUCUUGCAUAAUUGAAAACUAUGCAUAAUUUAUGCAAAUGCAAUUAAUCAACAAUUAAUGGAGUCUCGUCUCCAUCAUCAUUUUUUAUUUACUUUGUUAUUACAUACAACAAUUUAUAGCUUGCAUAUUUUCACGAUUUUUUGCCAUAAAUUUUACAUUGGAAAAAAUGCUAAAAGCGCAUUUGAAAGCCACUCGCAAAUCACUUUAACGAUUCGAGAAUGCAACUUUUUUGGUUGCCCCUUUCGUUUAGUGCUUGAUUUUUGUGUUCCUUGCAGUAUAUAUAUGCAUUUUUAUGUACAUUUAGCUUAAAUGGCGUCUCGAGGCACUCGCCUUUUCGAUGAAUUGAAUUUAUUAGCUAGCUGAAAAGUGCAAAUUUGCUACUCGUUGCCACCCGUUUUGGUGGAAAAUUGUGCACACUUUGCCUUAACUGCUGCCAAUUAACAUAAAGCGACAGCAGUGCCGGCAAAACAACAACAAGGUUAACAAGUCAGGUUGCAAUGCAAAAGAUAAAUGGAAGAUGCGCUCUGGGUUUUUAAUCUGAACGUAAGGGAGGGGUAUAAGUUGCAUUGUGUAUUAUACCGCCUGGCGCCAUUGUUUCGAUUGUCUUGACCAUAAACGAGUUGCUGACAUCAUCGGCGGCUAGCGAACCUGGCCAACUUGUGACCUUUACAGCCAGUGACCUUGAUGGCAGCACCUUUUUCGCCUUCUCCUUCCCUUUUUCAAUGGCCUUUUAAUUACUCGCCAUGCCUAAAAACGAACCUGCAAUUGCAAUGACCCAGAGCCUGAAAUCAGUGGGUGCAUCAAUAACAUUUUUAUUGAAAAUAUAUAGUAUAAGAAGCGUAUUUAUGUUGGCAAUAAACAAUAUGCGAAGAUCAAUACCCAUUAUAAUGGCUAUAAAGAUCGAAGAGUUUAAUUUUUAUUAUAUUUUGUCGUAUUUUUCCUAAGUAAUAAACUUUGGGCUCUAAAAAUGUUGAUUUGCAUCUUUAAAUUAAAAUUUGAUUCGUUUCUAUUUUUGAAGUCAUCAUCACAUUACAGAUUUACCAAUUACAAAUUUUAUAACAUUUUAUCAAUAUUUUCCAUUAUAAUUGCAUACAGCAUUGCAUUAUAAUAUUCAUUGCCGUUUUCGUUCGUUUCGAUUUCAUAAAUGCCUAAAUAUUUUAUUUCUUCUCUUUCAUUUGACUCUAAGCAUACUGAAUGUUUUAUGUGGAUUUUAAUAGCCGCCUGCCUGUUUUGUUAGCAAUAUUUAUUUAGUUUUAAUUUGAGUGUUUAUUGAAGUCUGUACAAAGGCGACCUUCAACUCCAGCACGCUUUAGUCAUCAAUUUUAAUUUAUUAAAAAUGUAAAGAAAUAUAUACCCAUACGGGCGCAUAUUAAAUUGCAAUUAACAUGGCUAUUAUAAUGAAAAUCUAAUGGAUCUAAAAAGGUUAAUGCACAGCUGCACUCAGAGUGCAAAGACUUUAGUAACUUCUCGUUCGGAAAAUGAAUCAGCUCGCUAUGGUUAUUUAUUUUUAUUUUAGGAUUAGACAUGUCUAUUUCCCAUCUAUUUCCUUUUAUCUAUCCCUCUGAUUAACACACACACUCGACUAAAUCUCAUUUCGAACACUUCCUAAUGGAAACCCAAUCCUUAGCCUUUUAGCUACAUUUUUUCUUGCCCUUUUGCUAAUUCCCAUUGAUUGCGGAUGCAGUGAAAGAAAUUAUAUGUACUCGUCCAUAAAAUAAUGUUUUACUCGUAUUUUGAUGUUUGUCGCAGAUUGAAUGUCUUGUCGAUUGAUAUUUAUAUAUAGCUACAAGGGCUCUUUGAAACUUUGAUGGUUUUCUUAACCUAUCAGGUUACCCUGUCAAUCUGCCAGAUAUAUUUCUUUCCGUGUUUAUGGAGUCCAUCCUCGAGUUUCCUGUCGCUCAGCCUGCCUGCCAAAAUAGACAAUUUCCUUUUCUUAUUAAAUGUUAUUUGUAUUUCACUCACAGCGAAAUGAACGACGCUGAAAAUGCCCGCCGCUUGACUAUUUAUUUGUUUUUAGCUCUGCCAACACCGCCCCGUUCCAGAUCUCCAGAUUCCCAGUUUACCAGUUACCCCGGCAUUCGACCAUCCCAACAGCAUCCCACCAUCCCGGGAACCCGGCUGCCCGACAUCCCGUCUGUCCUUUGAACAUCAUCCAAUUACACAGCGAACCGCACCCGAGACACGUGUGCAGCAUCUGUUACCAGUUUUGUGGGCCACUCGUUCUCGGCAUCAUCGAUUGAUGAUGGCGUCUCGCUGGAAACGGUGUUCUGUGCACAGAACGGUCCACUAAAGUCAUCGUUUAGGUUUUUGGGAUUGCUGAAGUUUGGCAACGGCGCCCCUAUCGCGCUGACAUAGCUGAAAUGGCCCCAAACUGAAAACAUUUUGUAAUUGUGUACCCUGCAGCGGACCCUUUACCCUACGAGUAUUCAUCGUUUCGUUUUUUUCUGCACGACGCUUGAAACAAAUCAAAUUGCGAGUCCGUUUCGCUUUCGAAACAUAUGGGAAUGCCGCAGAACACUUGAAAAAAUAGUAUCCAAUAGUUUGAAAACUUAGUUUUGAAAUGGAAAACUGUAUACUGAGAAUCAAGAAUUUUCUUUUUAGAUUGACAUCUUUUAGAUAUUUAAGAUUUAAUAAUUACUAGAUUGAAUUCAUAGAUUUAAAAUCUUACUUUAAGGCAGUUAUAUUGGUUUGAAACUUACUUUUUUCUCAGUGAGAAGAACAAGAUGUAACGAACCGGAACGAAGACGAUGGUUGUCCUCAUGGGUUAACAGUGGACCUGGGGUCAGGGUCGCCCUUCCGUUCCACGGCAAGUGCAAAAUAAUGGCCAAGAAAGAACAACAGCGGCAAGGAAACUCAUACAUAUUAUAUUUUGUACCUCUCUAACCGGGCUGCAAAACAUGAAAAAAAAAAGUAGAAACAGAAAUGAAUAAAUGGCAGGGUGGCUGGCAAAAAGGGGGCGUUGCAGUUGGGUGGUUGAUGGGGUGACCCGAGCGCCAACCCCCAAGCAACUUGGCAUCACCAUUGUGACAUUUAAGAGGCUCAAGAGAGGCAGCAGCAGCAGCAGUAGCAGUGGCAAAGCUAAAACAAAACCCACGCACACACUACCACCCCAUGCCCCAUGCCACAUGCCCCUCGACCCACAUAACCCCCCAACCAGCCAUUAAUGGGAGCACCCACACCCACACCCGCAACUCUCAAAGCAACCCUCGGGGGAAGGCCACCAGUAGUGAAAGGUGUGAGAGUCGAGUCCUUUGCUCAGUGUGUGGCCCCUCAGGAGCUCCACGGGUGCUGGAUGCUGGAUGGAUGCUGUGUAAAUCUAUAUGUGUAUACAAAAAGUAUAUAUACUAUGGAGGAAUACGUGUGUGGCACCUUUGGAGCGUUGCAUACUUGGUGGUAUUGGUGCUGCUUAAAAUAAUUAAAAAUCAAUAUUUAAACUAUGCAAUGAAGCCUAUCAGGGAACUCAAAGAAGAGGCAAAGAGCGGCAUUAAAGCAAUCAGGAAUAUUUAUAUAUAGAGAUGACGACUGUUAGGAUGGUUAAAAUAAUGUUAAAAUAGAAGAACUUCAACCUACACUAUCUAACUAACUGUUUAAGGUCUAAAAAUUAAGCUUCCCCAAGUAUCUUUCAUCCCUCGACAACAUUGACUAAAUUUAAAUAUUAUUCCGCUGGCAUAUCGUUGUAAUUUAUUAUUUACGCCUAAGACUUGCAAUGAUACCAGCAAUGGGGCACAUCAGAAAUUGUGAAUACCGCCAACCUGCUUAAAAUUUCUAAAAGAUAUUUGCAUAAUUUGCGAUACAACAAAAAUGAGAGAAGAAUUUAAUUAUACAAUCUCCGUAUUACAUAAUUUCUUGCAAUUUGCAUAUAUUUUCACGAAAACGCCCAUUUUAUGGAAAAGCCCCCCGAAGCAUAACCACAAAAUUAUUCCUCGAGAAUUUAAAAAUGAUUUAAACAUUUUUGUGUUUCAUUCGCACAGUCUGAAAGUCAAAAUAAUCGAAUCAAUGAAGCAUGAACAAUUUUCGGAUUUUAUUUUAAUUAAAAUGAAACCGAAUGAAAUGACUGAUAAAUUGGAGCAGAAACAAGUCAAAGACUUGUCUUGAAAUAUGCAAAUAUUGUAUGAAAAUACAUUUUACCUGGCUAUAAAUAACGUUUGAGCCCGAAUUCCUCACAGUGGGUGGCCAAAAAGCCAGUUUCAGAAUAAAUCACUUAAACGCACGUAUAUAUCAAAUAAAAUACUUAUAAUUUGCGAAACAAAAGGCGAAUGUGCUGACGACAACAUCAAUUGAAUUAUAAAAUGGGGCAAAAUGUGUGCUGCAGAAAUUUGACUUUGAAACAAGGAAAAUUUGUUUGAAUAUUGGUAAAAUGUUGGCAGGUGCCUUUUAGCUCAUAUUCAAGUUGUUUGCAAUCCUAUGAAUUUAAAUGUUCAUACAUAGAAGAGUGACCGACAUUUUUUGGGUAUUGAGUUUCCUAUCUCCGGUUGCCUUUCAUUGGACUAUAUUUAAUAAAGCAGUUAGUAAACGCUUUGUUGUUAAAUUAUAGGGCUUUUCCAUUCAAUAGGAAAUUACCAAUAAAUAUAAAUAAGAUCCGGCAAUAUUGCAAUACUGAUUUUUAUAAAUCAAAUUCCCCAACUUCUGUAAUAUAUUAAUAUAUCCUGUACUUUCUUCAUAUCCCGCAUUACAACCGAAAAAUCCGCAGCAGGUGAAGGCCUAAAGGUUCAUUUAAUGCUCGUCACAUUUCGCAGAGUGUGUUUUCGGUCUCAUUAGAUAAAUCCCAGCAGCAUGGCAGUAUUGUGUAUUGGGCAACAUUAACGCCAACUGUCAGUCUUGCGGGCCAAUGACAAUUAGUCUGCUGAUAAGAUAAGCCCCCAGAAAGCUGCUGCCUAAACCAAUUUUGGUUGGUUGGAUUUUGGGUUUGUUUUGUUUGUUUGUUUUGUUUGUUUUUUGUGGUUUGGGGAACCCCUUUUUAUCUCAAAAUUAAAUGGCGGCAGCUGUCGCACGCACACGCCCACACACACACACGCCCCUAGACAUCGAACUUUGACUUUGAGUGCGUUUGCCAUUUUGUUGCCGCUUCAAUCAAAAAAGUUUGCCACGCAAAAUUAGUCUUUGUGUUGUUGCGCUGUUUUGUUUGUUUUGCUAUCUACGUACAUAUACAUAUAUGUAACUGUCAAAGCGGGCUAAAGUUUUAUAUCUAUUAGUUUGCCUGCCAAUCAGGGUUGUGUGUUUGUGAAAGGAAUUUUAUUGUGAGGUGCGGCAUGACGGCGCAAAAAAAAUGGUUUUAAGCAUCGAAUAUCUUUCAGAUACAUGCAAUCUGACAGCUUAAUUUUUGUACUUCUCCCAAUUGAAGUCUUCAAAGUACGAGCACAUUCCAUCGUCUCCCCCGAAAGCCAAAUAAGAAUUUAAUUUACAGGGAAUUUUCAGCAUUAAUUUACAUUGUCCCCCUGGCUUGAUUGCUUUGCGUCCUCACAUUCCCCAUAUAUAUCCCCCAUAUAUUCAUGCGUCAUGUGUGCCAGCUCAUCUCUUGUACGAGUAUCUGUAUCCCAAGCCAGUGGAUUCUCAUUUUUUAAAUACCCCGAAAAUUGUUGUUAAUUACGUUGUUGCAAAAUGUGGCCUGGAAAAUGGGUUUUCUACCAUGAAUAAAAUAUUAAUUAAAGACUUUCCUCGGACAUCCGCACACUGACCCCAAAAGAAGGCAAAAAAAAAGUUGUGGCCCCUCGUUGACCAGAUUUCGGUUGGAUAUUGAGGGCAAAAAAAGGAGGUUUUGCCUUCUGACAACUUUCCAUGAAAAUUUAUUAAAUGUCACAGGCAAAACUGAUAAUGAAAACACCAACAACAACAACAACAAAAAAUGGUAUGUGUCAAUUUUCCUUGUUUUUGCGGUCCCCAUGCAAAAGUAAAUUAAUUUAAAAUUUGAAAAAAUCUGCUGACAGCUGGGAGGCGAAAAAAGAAGAGGGCGUCUGACUCAUUCUUUCAAUUGAGUGUUUUUUUUUUCGGUUAGUUUGUUUGAUUGAAUUUUUUAGUGUAGUUAACGAAUAUGCCCAUUUAAUUAUGAACGACAUUUUUUAUAUUAGGAAAAUGUUUAUGUGUAGCUAAAUGGAUGGGUGUCUGCUUAUUAAAUACGUAGAUUAAACUAAUUGGUGGGGUUACUUUUUUCACUAUAUAUUAGCUACAUAUGCACAAAACACUUUUUAAGUUAUUAAAGUUAUAGUAAAUGAAUAGAUUGGCUUGUUUGUACAGAAUUGAAAUUUUGUAGUUGAUUGCUAAUCAUAAUGAAGUUAGUCUUACUGCAGCCGCACAUAAUUUCGAAAUGCACUGGCAAAGCAAGUUGGCAUCUGUUUCUGCUGACAGCUAAUCUAAUCUAUGAGGAUGCUUAUCCUGUUCGCAGACAUAGAUAUAUGUAUGUACAUAUAUGCUCUAAACAUAGAGGUUCAGUUGCAGCUGGCGUAGAAAAUUAGGCACUCGAACAUUUGGGGAAUAAUUUAUAUACACAUAUUAGCGUAUGUGCUUGUGUAUGUCGUCAAGCUGUGCAAUUUUCCGAGUUCCUUGGGAAGUGUCGUAAUAAAUUUGUGACUGAAGACAAACCAAGAACUCGGCAAAUAAACUUUUGCUGUGUUUGCGCACUUGGCCUGCCUUGGAAAAUGCCGCCUUGUCAUGCCGACUGCAAAAUCGUCCAGUUUAUAGAGAUGCCAAGUUGUUUGUGCUGAAGGUGUCGGAUUCAUUGACUGAGAAGUUUGCACAACUCAAGCGAAGCGAUAUAAACACAUUUGAGUUAUAUGUACAUAUAUGGAAAGGUCCGAGUUUUGGGUGCUUUGAUCUCGCUGCUGCGAAAAUUAAUUAACCUCACAGCCAGGGCUUAGGCAUAAUAAAUCAAUAAUUAUAAGUCAAGGCAUCUUGCCCAUCAUCUUUUCCAUCUAUUUAUAUACCCAUAAGCUAAGCCAUUUAAGCCAUUUGCCAUGGUUACCCUCAAGCCGAAAGAUUCUCGUUGUCAGUUCAUUAGGUUAAUUAAAAGUACAACAAAUUUUCUGAGGGUUUCCUGCUGUCAUCGAACCCAUCAUUAGGCCAAAAUCGAAACCACAAAAAAUAAGCAAUUAGAGCCUAAAAUGAUUUGUUCUUAAACAGAUUGCCUUACAAGCAUUUUGCGGCUUUUGAUUUAUAUGCCUGCCUGCUCAAAUUUUCGAACAAUUCAAUCAGCGCAAAAGGAAACGCACACACAAAAUAAAAUAAAAAAAAUAAUUAAUCAAGAUUUUGAUUUUUUUUUAUGGACGUUUGCUGUGCAAUAAUUUAAAAGAGAACGCGCGCAGAACGUAUUCUUAUUGAGUUUCGACUUUGAGAAAUGUUUGCACGCUUGAAGCGAUUUGUCCUUGAGUCGAGGCUGUUCAAGUCGAGCUCAAAGCCCUCAGAGUCUCUCUUGUUUUUUUCCCUCCUUUAUUGUAUAUGUAUAAACAUAUAUACACACGUUAUUUUUUUCUUCUUUUUCUGGUUAACUCUCGCGGCUGUCUGGUCUGAUUAUGACACUGCCAAUGCCUCUCGAAAAAGCCCGGCUUCUUCGGCGUUAGAGGAACCGGAAUAACCAGUGGAAAACUGCGCCGACAUCAUCAACAACAACAACAAGAAGGCAACAAGCCACAGAUAAACAGAAAACUAAAAGCUAAAAAAAAAGAAGAAAAAAACACCAGAGCAGUAGGCAGAAAAGCGAAUUGCGGCUGCGAGUGCAUUAAACUCGGUAAGUUUGAGGAACUCAUAAAAUUGCGCCAGAGCAAAGUUACCUUGCGAGUGCCGUGCCCUCGAGAACUUUAAUUAGUAACAAAAAAUAUAUAUAAAAAAUAUAUUCACGCCUUCGGAGAAAACUUUGGACUGGGAUUUGGUCAUAAAUCUUGCAAAACACGAAAGCAACAGCAAACCAAACAGGUGCUCCAUUGACCAAAAGUCCGGUAAAUUGAAUUAAGAUGAAAAGCCUAGCCGGCGAUAGAGAGAGACGGCAACAGCACGAGGGCCACUGUGCGAGUGAGACGCAGCGUCAACAACUUUUUAAUGCCUUGGCAAUUUUAUGCUUAAUAUUUCGUUACCUGCAUCAAAAGUACGAGUCCCAAGUAAAAGUCAAGACCCCUGGAACAGAUGCUCCAAGAUUUCCCCAAAAGAUAAACAAAACAGAAAAAGGAAGCGAGAGAGAGAGAAGUGUGUAGACUGAGUGAGAGGGGUGGAUCGGUAGGCAAAGGUAAAGACAGGGAUGGACAGUUUUAAGCUUAAUAAGAUCAAAAUCUCUGCGGAUUAUUUCGUACACUUUUUUUGUGCCCCAAACUUUUCUUACCUUUUCGAGAGCCACGCCUCUCGCCGUCCGCUUGUCUUGGGAACUCAAGGCCCCUUUGCGGUUUUUUGGUCAAGACACGAAUUUCGUAUUUUAUAUAUACAUACAGAUAUAUUUUUUUUACUUGUCUGGUGCUUUUUUCUUUAUUCAUUUUCUGCAUUUUCCCUCUCUUAAGUCAAAAGUUUGUUCUGUGUAAAUUAUUCGCAAAGCAAACAACUCAAAAGCCAAGCGGGGAAUCCUUGAGGGGAUUGAAAAAUUUGUGGAGGGUGCAGCGGAGCCAUGUGACAUGUUUUGGCAGUUUUUUAACAGAGAUUAGAACGUCGUACAAGUUGUAACUUUUUAAGCAGCAGCAGCAGUAGCAGCGCAGCAGCACAAAAACAUUUCCCGAAGAGAGCGACUGCCACAGAAAAGUUUUAUAUUCAUUUCCAACUUGUUCCGAUUUCAAAAGCUGCAAAACAUUUCGAAGAAUGAAUAUUUAAUGCCCCAGGGUUGGGGGGUGUGGACUAUGGAAAUCAUUUGACACGUAGAAAUCUGUUCUCGAUUGUCCGUAAAAAGAAAAAAUAAUGCAAAUGACAAACUGUGCAUGCAUAUGGAAAAGUAUAUAACAUAAAUGUACUCACGAUGAUGAUGAUGAGGAUCGCAACCCGUCAUGUUGCUUAAAUUGCGGCAUAAAAAAUAGAGCUCCCUGCAAAUGCGGCGCUUAUCUUUUGGCUUUUUUCAAACCCCUUGAAGCAGAAAGAAAAAUUGUCAUUGUAACUACAUAAAAAUGAAAUGCAAUAAAAAUACCCGCAGAAAACUGAAAACAGAAGCAGAGAAAUAAAACAAUAACAAUUGGAACAACGAAACCAGAAGGCAACACAUAAAAAUAAUUUCAAAUGCGCAGUCGGGGGGGAAAGAGGGAGAUAGACAGUGUAGGAAAUAGAGCACAAGAGAGAGACGGCAGGAUGAUUUGGGCCAACGGGAAGUGCUAAACAGUAAAAAAUUCUAAAAUCAUUUUUUAAAUAAUAAUCUAAUGACAUUUUUUGCAGUAAGAAAAUUUAAAGACAUUCAAAAGUUUGUAUUUUAAAAAUUCGAACAGUUUUUUAAUUUAAAUAUACAUAUCAUAAUAUUUAUUUAAUAUAUAUUUUCCCUUGUCCGCGUUUUUCUCACUGCAUCAAAUAUAAAUGAAAAUUGUUCGCUUUCGGUUGUUGUUUUCCCCGUGUGCUUUUUUGCUCGAUUUAUAUUUUGCCACAGAAAUGAAAACUAUUGAAUGUCAAACAAAAACGUGCAAUCGCAAUCGACGCAAGCAGACACGCACGCAUACAUAUACAGAAAUUCAGACAGUCGGAGAUAUUAAGGAAAACUUCACGGAAAAGUGGUGAAAAGAGGGGAAAAGCAAGCGCGCACACACGGCGUAUACUUAACCAAAAUAUUUACUCGCUCAAAAAUGGUUGUGGGUGCACAUGGUUUUCCUUGUGUGUACGAUUUUACAUUGAAGAUUAAAUGGUUUUUUAUGUUUAUUGCACAAAUACUUUUAUUAUUAUUCCCGUUAGUUGUUAUUGCGGAUUUUCUUCUGCUUUUUUGUGUACCAAUAAGUUUUGAUAUCGCCGAUACCGCUUUUCCACGUAGAUAAAAUUUCGAUUUGUGAAUUGGGAAUAGGAGAUGGAAUAAAUGUAACUUGGGGUAAGACCUGCAGUUCAUUUUUGGAUUUUACAUUAAACGAAUU
rnacentral:sRNA from 13 species